rnacentral:rRNA from 1 species
AGCCUGCCCAGUGACAUUGUUCAACGGCCGCGGUAUCCUAACCGUGCGAAGGUAGCGUAAUCACUUGUUCUUUAAAUGGGGACUAGUAUGAACGGCUUCACGAGGGCUAUGCUGUCUCCUUUAUCCAAUCAGUUAAACUAAUCUCCCCGUGAAGAAGCGGGGAUAUUCAUAUAAGACGAGAAGACCCUAUGGAGCUUUAAACAUUUAAAAUAUUCGAAUUUUAUACUUUAACUCUCAGAAAACUUCAUUAAGCAUGUCGUUUUAUUUUAAGUUUUAGGUUGGGGUGACCACGGAGAACAACCUAACCUCCACGUAGAAAGAAAUUUCCUUUCCAAGCAAAAAGCCACAUCUUUAUGCAUCAAAAUAUUGACCUGAAUUGACCCAAUUAUUUGAUCAACGAACCAAGUUACCCUAGGGAUAACAGCGCAAUCCGCUUUAAGAGCUCCUAUCGACAAGCGGGCUUACGACCUCGAUGUUGGAUCAGGGAAUCCCAGUGGUGCAGCAGCUACUAAUGGUUCGUUUGUUCAACGAUUAAAACCCU